rnacentral:rRNA from 1 species
UCCUACGGGCGGCAGCAGUGGGGAAUUUUGCGCAAUGGGCGAAAGCCUGACGCAGCAACGCCGCGUGCGGGAUGAAGGCCUUCGGGUUGUAAACCGCUUUCAGCAGGGAUGAAAUUGACAGUACCUGCAGAAGAAGCCCCGGCUAACUACGUGCCAGCAGCCGCGGUAAUACGUAGGGGGCAAGCGUUAUCCGGAUUCAUUGGGCGUAAAGAGCGCGUAGGCGGCUUGUUAAGUCAGAUGUGAAAACCGGGGGCUCAACCCGCGGCCUGCAUCUGAAACUGGCAGGCUUGAGUCUGGUAGAGGAAAGUGGAAUUCCCAGUGUAGCGGUGAAAUGCGCAGAUAUUGGGAGGAACACCAGUGGCGAAGGCGGCUUUCUGGGCCACGACUGACGCUGAGGCGCGAAAGCUAGGGGAGCGAACAGGAUUAGAUACCCUGGUAGUC